rnacentral:rRNA from 1 species
GUCGAGGGGUAUAGUUCUUCGGAACUAGAGACCGGCGCACGGGUGCGUAACGCGUAUGCAAUCUACCUUUUACAGAGGGAUAGCCCAGAGAAAUUUGGAUUAAUACCUCAUAGUAUAUAGCCCUGGCAUCAGGAUUAUAUUAAAGUCACAACGGUAAAAGAUGAGCAUGCGUCCCAUUAGCUAGUUGGUAAGGUAACGGCUUACCAAGGCUACGAUGGGUAGGGGUCCUGAGAGGGAGAUCCCCCACACUGGUACUGAGACACGGACCAGACUCCUACGGGAGGCAGCAGUGAGGAAUAUUGGACAAUGGGCGCAAGCCUGAUCCAGCCAUGCCGCGUGCAGGAUGACGGUCCUAUGGAUUGUAAACUGCUUUUAUACGAGAAGAAACACUCCUUCGUGAAGGAGCUUGACGGUAUCGUAAGAAUAAGGAUCGGCUAACUCCGUGCCAGCAGCCGCGGUAAUACGGAGGAUCCAAGCGUUAUCCGGAAUCAUUGGGUUUAAAGGGUCCGUAGGCGGUUUAAUAAGUCAGUGGUGAAAGCCCAUCGCUCAACGGUGGAACGGCCAUUGAUACUGUUAGACUUGAAUUAUUAGGAAGUAACUAGAAUAUGUAGUGUAGCGGUGAAAUGCCUUAGAGAUUUCAUGGAAUACCAAUUGUGAAGGCAGGUUACUACUAAUUGAUUGACUCUGAUGGA